CUACGGGGGGCAGCAGUGAGGAAUAUUGGACAAUGGAGGCAACUCUGAUCCAGCCAUGCCGCGUGCAGGAAGACGGCCCUAUGGGUUGUAAACUGCUUUUAUACAGGAAGAAACGCCUCCUCGUGAGGGGGUUUGACGGUACUGUACGAAUAAGGAUCGGCUAACUCCGGCCAGCAGCCGCGGUAAUACGGAGGAUCCAAGCGUUAUCCGGAAUCAUUGGGUUUAAAGGGUCCGUAGGCGGUUUAAUAAGUCAGAGGUGAAAUCCUACAGCUCAACUGUAGAAUUGCCUUUGAUACUGUUAGACUUGAGUUAUUGUGAAGUAGUUAGAAUGUGUAGUGUAGCGGUGAAAUGCAUAGAUAUUACACAGAAUACCGAUUGCGAAAGCAGAUUACUAACAAUACACUGACGCUGAGGGACGAAAGCGUGGGUAGCGAACAGGAUUAGAUACCCCUGUAGUC
rnacentral:rRNA from 1 species